GUUUAAUAGCGGUUGGUAAACCAGCUUAGUGGUGCAUUACCGCCACCUGCUGCACUGGAGUGUGGCUCCUCCAAUAAAUGCCCACACCUUUUCCGGCUUUUAGGCCAAUCAGCGACGCGCCCUGCGUGAACACGGGGUUUGAAAUAUGCAGAGACUCGGCUAAGCUAGACGAGAAAGAGAGUUCAUCUGAUUUUGCAACAGAUGCUGUGGUGUAGAUGUCAUGGAAGGUCCUCUUCCCCCUCUCCAAGGCAGAACUUCGAGCUCCAUGACCUGAUGACACGAGCUCCUUCAUUCUUUAAGUCUUAAAAUUGGACAGCUUAUGCUUACAUGGGAUGACCCAAAUAUAUUCUGCCAGCAAAAGUAGGUGGAGGAAGAAGGACCCCAAAACUGGCAGCUUAAUAUCAGAACACUGUCAGCCCUUACAGCAGCAGACACUGCAGUCACUGGUACAGCUCUUUGUGGACCUUCACUAGUUGUGCACAUCACCAGUCACUGAGCUGCUGCAGAAUGACCUACAUUGACCCGAUGUUACCCAAUGCUGGAAAACAAUUUCCAGUAGUGAAUUCUCGAAGGAUCCAAACCUCUUCCUUCUUAUUUGAUGAUUGAAACAUCAGCUUGCAGCCUCGUGCACAGCGAGGAAUCGGACAAGAUUUUGCAUCAGAAGAAAUAUCCAAAGUGGUGGGGAGCAUCAUGACCAGCCUUGGAAGAUCUGUGUUAUUGGCUUAAAUUGAACAUUUUCCUUCACUCUUACCACAGCAACAACCAUCCAGGCAAAUACUGUAAUAAAAUGGCACAAACUUGUAUCAUAUUUCUCGCAGUUCUGAUUUUGGGGUCAUAACAUCCAGCUCUCAAAUAGCUGAAUUAAAGCAGCAGAGGGUUCAUUAAUCACUUUUGCUGAAAGUGUUUUGCAGAAGUGACAGCAACUGGACUCCUAAGAACGAUUACAGUUUCAGUGAAUGCCUUGCAUCAUCAGAGGCUUCAGCUCAUUUUAAAUAUCUGCUUGUUCUAUUGUUUUGUCAUCGAGCAGGGUUAGAAGCUUGUUUGUCUGGCACUAUGAUGUGUAUGUAUUAUUGUAGGGUCUACCUUACAAUAUAAAGUGGCUUGAGGUGACUGUUGUGAUUUGGUGCCAGAUAAAUAACUUUGAAUUGAAUUAAUCUGUAUUCAGAUAUUUAUGUACCCAGAAAACAGAGAAAGUAACUGUAUAGUUGUAACAUUGAAGAUUCUCUGCAACAUCUGUGCAGGAAGCAAACUUGAGAUGGUUGGUGUUAAACUCAACAAUAUCCUGCUGUUCACCCGGUUAGCUGUAACUAUACUGAUAAUGAAAUCACUGGUGUAUUUUUACACCUUUAGAUACUGAUUUACACUGGCUCUGCAGGUUUGGUGUAUCUGUAGAGUAUCAGUGGUUUACACAUGGAUUUCUUUUGAAUAAACCAUAAUUCAUAUGUAAUGUAGGUAUUUGGCACCAGUACAGAUCAUCAACCAGAUAUGAAUAGAUUAUAGAGAACUGGCUUCUUUAUUUACACAGAAUUGAAAGGGGGGGGGGGGGGUAAAGAUGGGACCACAUUCAGGUUGGCUCAAUCUUCACUUUAAGAAAAAGGGGGGAAAAAUGAAUAUAAAUAUAUAAAAAAAGAUGUGCUCCUGGUAUUAAAUUACAAAUGUGUACAUCCUCUCAGUAUCACAUUCCUAUCUGUUGUUUUUGUUUGGUUUUCAGUCAAUACAGAAAUAUGAAAUGACAACAUGACCUAAAUAAACUAAAUUCAGACAUGUGACAAGUUGCUGUUCUCCAUGGUUUCCCAUCUCUGCUGUAUAGUAGAAUUUUAACCACCAGGUGGCAGUUGAAUAUCAGUGAUCACCUCCAGUCUGUUGCCUAUAAUGAGGUAACACAUUUUACUGGACUAAUUAGUGCCUCAAAACUGCACACACUGAUAACUCCUGCGGCAUCGUUUUUCAUCCGUAUCCUGUGGUGCACACGCCAUGUAGGAUUCUGUGGAAAUGAACUUCACAAUCGCUCUCGCACAAACGUGUUUUAACAUUGUUUUAAUGUAAAUGUGUAAGACUGCCAUUACCUCAACUGUAUUGCUACACUUUAAACACUUCUAGCUUUUAAAGUAAAAAGUUUAACAAUUUAAAGUGCAAAACAGAUGAAUUCAAAUGUUUUGGGGGAUACAUAUGUAAUCAAAUAUAUUUUGAACAUACUGACCUGGUAUUUGCU
ensembl:lncRNA